AACGAACGCUGGCGGCAGGCCUAACACAUGCAAGUCGAGCGAAGCCUUCGGGCUUAGCGGCGGACGGGUGAGUAACGCGUGGGAACGUGCCCUUUAGUACGGAAUAGCCCCGGGAAACUGGGAGUAAUACCGUAUGUGGUCGAGAGACGAAAGAUUUAUCGCCAAAGGAUCGGCCCGCGUUGGAUUAGGUAGUUGGUGGGGUAAUGGCCUACCAAGCCGAAGAUCCAUAGCUGGUUUGAGAGGAUGAUCAGCCACACUGGGACUGAGACACGGCCCAGACUCCUACGGGAGGCAGCAGUGGGGAAUCUUAGACAAUGGGGGAAACCCUGAUCUAGCCAUGCCGCGUGAUCGAUGAAGGCCUUAGGGUUGUAAAGAUCUUUCAGUGGGGAAGAUAAUGACUGUACCCACAGAAGAAGCCCCGGCUAACUCCGUGCCAGCCGCCGCAGUAAUAC
rnacentral:rRNA from 1 species